UGGGGAAUUUUCCGCAAUGGGCGAAAGCCUGACGGAGCAAUGCCGCGUGGAGGUGGAAGGCCUACGGGUCGUCAACUUCUUUUCUCGGAGAAGAAACAAUGACGGUAUCUGAGGAAUAAGCAUCGGCUAACUCAGUGCCAG
rnacentral:rRNA from 1 species